UACAGGGGUGCAAACGUUGCUCGGAAUUAUUGGGCGUAAAGCGCGCGUAGGCGGCUACUUAAGUCGGAUGUUAAAUCCCUCGGCUUAACCGAGGAACUGCCUUCCAGACUGUCUGGCUUGAGACCGGGAGAGGUGAGUGGAAUUCCCAGUGUAGCGGUGAAAUGCGUAGAUAUUGGGAGGAACACCAGUGGCGAAGGCGGCUCACUGGACCGGUACUGACGCUGAGGCGCGAAAGCGUGGGGAGCAAACAGG
rnacentral:rRNA from 1 species